UACGAAGGGUGCAAGCGUUACUCGGAAUUACUGGGCGUAAAGCGUGCGUAGGUGGUUUGUUAAGUCUGUUGUGAAAGCCCCGGGCUCAACCUGGGAAUGGCAAUGGAUACUGGCAAGCUAGAGUGCGGUAGAGGGUAGUGGAAUUCCCGGUGUAGCGGUGAAAUGCGUAGAGAUCGGGAGGAACACCAGUGGCGAAGGCGGCUACCUGGACCGACACUGACACUGAGGAGCGAAAGCCAGGGGAGCAAACGGG
rnacentral:rRNA from 1 species